rnacentral:lncRNA from 1 species
AAUUCAACUGUUGCUGAAUUGGCUGCAACAUUACAGGCUGAUCUUUCUCAACUUCAAGCAGCUGCAUCUUUUGCUUGCCGAUUAGGAUGGGCUGUCAAACUAAUAGACCCAGCAUCUAUUCUGCACGAUCCUAAUGUUCCAGGGUCACCUAAGAGUCGAUUGGGAUGGGCUGUCAAACUAAUAGACCCAGCAUCUAUUCUGCACGAUCCUAAUGUUCCAGGGUCACCUAAGAGCCUUCUUAGUGACGAGGAAGAUGGUUCUCAUGCCAGCUUGGGCUCUGCAAAUGUGUCCUCUGAUGGCAGUGCU